GGCUCCUUGGUCAAGCGGUUAAGACACCGCCCUUUCACGGCGGUAACACGGGUUCGAGUCCCGUCGGGACCG
rnacentral:tRNA from 1 species